rnacentral:rRNA from 1 species
AGUGAACGCUGGCGGUAGGCCUAACACAUGCAAGUCGAACGGCAGCACAGUAAGAGCUUGCUCUUACGGGUGGCGAGUGGCGGACGGGUGAGGAAUACAGCGGAAUCUACUUUUUCGUGGGGGAUAACGUAGGGAAACUUACGCUAAUACCGCAUACGACCUACGGGUGAAAGCAGGGGAGCUUCGGACCUUGCGCGAUUGAAUGAGCCGAUGUCGGAUUAGCUGGUUGGCGGGGUAAAGGCCCACCAAGGCGACGGUCCGUAGCUGGUCUGCGAGGAUGAUCAGCCACACUGGAAUUGAGAGACGGUCCAGACUCCUACGGGAGGCCGCAAUGGGUAAUAUUGGGCAAUGGGCGAAAGCCUGAUCCAGCCAUACCGCGUGGGUGAAGAAGGCCUUCGGGUUGUAAAGCCCUUUUGUUGGGAAAGAAAAGCAGCAGGUUAAUACCCCGCUGUUCUGACGGUACCCAAAGAAUAAGCACCGGCUAACUUCGUG